GACAGCAGCCGCCGCGGGAAUACGUAGGUGGCGAGCGUUGUCCGGAAUUAUUGGGCGUAAAGGGAGCGCAGGCGGACAUAUAAGUCCAUCUUAAAAGUGCGGGGCUCAACCCCGUGAGGGGAUGGAAACUGUAUGCCUUGAGUGCAGGGGAGGAAAGUGGAAUUCCUAGUGUAGCGGUGAAAUGCGUAGAUAUUAGGAAGAACACCAGUGGCGAAGGCGACUUUCUGGACGAAAACUGACGCUGAGGCGCGAAAGCCAGGGGAGCAACGGGAUUAGAUACCCCAGUAGUCCCUGUCUCUUAUACAC
rnacentral:rRNA from 1 species